UGGUCCUCCGGUUCAGUGAGGUUCCUCCGUGUCAGGUGACCACUCUAGCUGAUCUUCCGCCUCUGGGAUGGCGUGUGGCAUCGGAUUGAAAAACUCUGAAGCACAGAGACAUGAAGCUAAACAACCUGAAGAGGCUCUCAUCUCCGGAUCUUCAGGUCGCCCUUUGAUCAGCCUCUAUUCUAUGUGUGUGUGUGCACGUGUGUGCAUAUGUGUGUACAUGUCUGCGUGCAUGCAUGUGCAUGUAUGUGUGUGUAAAGAGACUGUGUAUUGUGGAAAAAUGAAUCAGAGAUAGUGUGUUUACAGCCUGGUCCGUCACCUUGGCAACAGAGUGGCUCUCAUCCAUCCUGAGCAUUAUCAUCCACUGACACACACGCGCAUGUGCACACACACACACACACACACUUCUGGUUUACCAAGCUGAGUGUUCACAGUCCUCUCCUGCUGCCUCAUUUGUCCUCCAACUAUUAAUAAAGGUGUUUUGCAGAUUGGGCUGAUCACUGGGAACGUGUGAAAGCUUUUGUGAUAACAGACCCGAUUUCCCUCAGAAGAACUACGAUGGCUCACCGGUGAGGGACGCCAGCGAAGGUUUCGAGUCAGAUCACAUGAUCAGGCGGAGUCCUGCAGGUCGCAGCAGCUGGUUGAAGUCCGCCAUUGUGAGUCGUUCCUAAAGGACACAAAACAGGAAGUCCACCUCUGAGCUUCACCACAGCCAGAGCGCUGGAACAACGGCGUGAGCCUGAUGAAAGGACGGAUCCAGCUCCUCUGAGGCGGCGCUGCAGAUCCAGCUUCCCUGAGCUUCCUCUCUGCCUCGUCUUCCUCCUUCUUCUAACAGGAGGAUGAGUCAGGCCGGACUUCAUCCGGCGCCUCAGAGACAGAUUCCUCCAGUCACAUCAGCGUUCACACAGUCCGGCCUUUCUGCUCGGUCCUUCUGGACCCUGAUGGAGGAGCUCACCGGAGCAGAGACCCACCAGCAGCACCGGAUCUGUGUGUGUGUGUGUGUGUGUGUGUGUGCGUCCAGGGGAGAGCGGCUUCUCUGCUUUUCCUCCUCUCCUUUCUGAUGACGCCUGUUGGCCCGGCUCGUAGCCAUGGUGACGUGAAUACAUGCAACAUAAAUAAAGUGAACAGGCGGACGCGCACAUGGAGGACAGGUUGAGUUCUGGAACUGAAGGUCCAGUGAGCUUCCAGCUCCAAACAAAAGGCAGAUGGAGGGAAGAGAGGAAAAGCUACUGCGCUUUUGAAUGUGAAGGUUGUCUAAAGCCGUGACGUAGUGAGGUUGGCGUUUUGGUAACUGUGGCAACAGACACUCAAUAGAGCACACACACACACACACACUCUCAUACAAACACACAGCAGCGAUGUGGAGCUGUGACAACAUUCAGGUUUGUCAAAAAGAAGCAGUGGUCUCUGCUUUUGGAGGUAAAUAUGCUUCAGGCUCUGCGUGUCGGUUCAGUCCAGACUAAAGUCCUCCGCUGGUCUCUAUGAAGAACGCUUAGAGCAGCGGGAGACCUCAAAAUGUGUUCAAACCCCGAAGACACAGAAGUAUUGAUUUCCUGUUUUUCUGGAGACAAAGGAAAAAGUACAACUGAUGUUCAUCUGCCAUCCAACCAACAUCCAUCCAUCCAUCCAUCUGUUUAUCCAUCCAUCAUCCAUUGAACCAUCCUAACCUUUACCUGCACACUAACACCACGUGGUAAUUUAUCAUAAAAUAGAUUCAUUUUUGUUUCAUUCCACCGUUUUCCUAAAUUCAACUUUUAGACAUCUUCAUUAGCCUCUUUAAUGUUGUCUAUUCUUUAUUUUUUAUUUUAAGCAUGGAUCGGUCUGGACCCACUAUUUUAAUGUUUUAAUGUUGUCAUUUUAUUCAUUAUUUUAUUGCAUUGAGGUUUUCUGUUUAAUUGUAUUCUAUUUUAUUUUACAGCUUCUCCUCACAGUUUGACUGUGGGGUUCUUCUCAUUUACCACAGGGAGGCUUUUUUCUUACUGAGGGACCCAAAACAACCUUCACGGGCAGAAGAUGCAAAUGCUGCAGAGAAUUGAAGCAGGGACCGUCUUCAUCACCACAACAGUGAAAGGAGAAGGUGGAUGAUUGUGAAAGCAACAUUUCAUCUGACAUUUCAGACACGUUUCUGUUAGAGCCAACAUGAAAACCUUUGUUACUCUCACUACAUAAAGAACUAAUUCAACGGA